rnacentral:lncRNA from 1 species
AUGUUGCCAACCAUAUCCUAAAGUUUUGUACAAGGAGAGGCAGUGCAGCUUGUGUUUAUUUUAAGGCAAUUUUAAUUCUGACCAGAUGGGUUCAGGAAUACAAAUCAAGAAGGGGGAAGACUGCAUCAGGAGCUGAGGCACAUGGGGCUACCAAUUCUGUUGCCUGGCAACAGAAUUUCAGUAUUUAGUUGUGCAUAAAGGUACCUUGAAUGUGAACAGGCCUGGGAGAGACACAGGUAGAGAACAGGUCUCUGAAAUGAACUGAGGGGCUUCAUGGGAGAGAGCAUUUUCCUCCCUCCCAGGUAAAAUAGAGCAAGUCUAGGUAGAUAAAAGACAUGUUUACUUGUUGCUGCGAAGGCUGCACACAGAUGAAGGAUCUGACAUCUCUGACACCUUCGUAUUCAGCUGAGAUUGCUCACAAGGUGCUGUUG